UCUCUUAUGCAGAUAAAAAAGAAUCUGCAGUUUCCUUGCUCUUGUUGAAAACGAUUACAAAGCUCGUAAUUCGAAUUAUCAAUGCAAAAUAAGCCCUGAACAGCCUUCCGAAGAAAGGAACUAUUAGUUAUGGGGUUUGUGUUAAAAAUAAAAAUUUUGGUGCAAGACCAUAUGAACCCUUGAUCAUCGAGUAUUGGUUAGAAGAAGAAUUAUGGUGGACAAUUGUGUCUGAUACAUACUACUUUUUUUCUCAAAAAAAAAAAAAAAAGAAAAUUCUUCAUUUCCGAAAUCCACAAUCGGGCUAAAAUUUGGAUGGCCAGUGGAUCAAAUGUCGCUUGAAUUUCUUGAAGAUGGUGGGUGGAUGGAUGGAUGUUUUUGUUGAAGAUGUUUCAACAAGAGUGUCUGAUAAGCACUUUCUGCUGUUUGAGAACAUAAAUGACUUAGAUAAGUUUACAGAACAAACUCAGUUAUUGCAACAAUCUGACUGAUUUGGUGUUAAAGCUUUUGGCUGCAAAACAUAAAAAUUUUGUAUACUUUGUCUAUUCUGAUUCCUAUUUAUGUUAGUUGUUUGUGCAGUUUGGUUGAUUUGCUUUAUUGCACUGGCUUUGUUUGGAUGUAACCAUGAUUCUACCUAUAUGAUUACAAACAGGUUACAGAUGGCCAAACAAAUAUGCAUUGGGUUGGCCAGAAGAUUAUAUGAUGAGAAAGUUCAUUGGAAUUUGUUAAUGGCUUCCAUGUGUGAAGUAGUUUCAUGAAAGAUACGAUGAUGUUCUCUUUGAAAAGAAGUGACUAGUAUUUAGCAACUCUUAAAAUACUGCUUGUCAUGUAAUAAUGUGAAAUUGGCUUUAAGCUCUCA